rnacentral:rRNA from 1 species
UAGGGAAUCUUCCACAAUGGACGAAAGUCUGAUGGAGCAAUGCCGCGUGAGUGAAGAAGGUUUUCGGAUCGUAAAACUCUGUUGUGAGGGAAGAACAAGUACGAGAGUAACUGCUCGUACCUUGACGGUACCUCAUUAGAAAGCCACGGCUAACUACGCGCCAGCAGCCGCGGUAAUACGUAGGUGGCAAGCGUUGUCCGGAAUUAUUGGGCGUAAAGCGCGCGCAGGCGGUCCUUUAAGUCUGAUGUGAAAUCCCACGGCUCAACCGUGGAAGGUCAUUGGAAACUGGGGGACUUGAGUACAGAAGAGGAAAGCGGAAUUCCAAGUGUAGCGGUGAAAUGCGUAGAGAUUUGGAGGAACACCAGUGGCGAAGGCGGCUUUCUGGUCUGUAACUGACGCUGAGGCGCGAAAGCGUGGGGAGCAAACA